GAAGGCUACGUACUUCUAUAUACUGUAUAGAGCAAGGCAUAGAAAUAAGAAAGUGAGGACUUUUCAUAUACUCUACAUAAGUUAUUGAAAUCUGAAAGCUUUAAAACCUCAUUUAUAUAUUGCGUGGGAUUACUUUUAUGUUGAUUUUACAUGAGAAAAGAGACAUGUAAGUUUAAUCUCAAUACUCUUACUUAACCUUUUUAUGCAAUAUGAGACAACUUUCAAACAUUUACUAAACAUGUAAUUUAUUUAAACAGUAGUGGUCUGGUAUUAUAAAUAGCUAUGUUACGUUUUUUUUUUUUUUAAUAAUUAUUAAUAGCAUUGUUUUUCGGUAGCUAUAAAAUGUCUGGACGAGAAUCUUCUGGUUCGGAGAUUGAACCUCCUCAACCAAAGAAGAUUUGUUCCUCAAAGUCUUCCACUAAUAAUCGUGCUUCUUUAAGGCAGUCAGAAAAAGCCCAAAAACAGUGGGCAGUGUUCGACUUCGCAGCAGACCAUAGCCUGCUAACAGUUCCUGCGAGCUGGGUCAGGGCAGUUAAAAACUUAUAUAUUAAAACAGGUGGAACAAGAAUAAAAACUAAAUGUUUUUGGCCUAAAAUGGGAUCAGAUGAAGAAUCAAGUGUUAGGAGAGCAAUUAAUUAUGUUCAGAUCCAGACGUCGACAACUGGGAUUUAUUAGAAGGAGUAUUUAAAGUCUUUUUCAAGAGCCUCAGAGAAGGUGAUGCAUACAUCACUGAGAAACUUGGUACAUUCAGUACCAGUUCUACUUCUUGUACUGAUACUGAACAAGAGCAAUUAGACAUUCUUGAAAAAAAGGCUGCUUUAGCAGUGAAAGAAAAAAACAUUGCGAAAAUAAAUGAAAAAUAUAGUAGGCCCAGCCCCAGAGCAGUGAGUGACAUCACUGACAUGACCAGCAGAUCCCCUACUCCAAAUGUACCCCGGACUCCCACUUCAAUGUCCCAGACAGGACAUAACCCCAGGCCCAGUACUUCAUACAGCAGACCUGGUCCUGUUACUCCCAGGUAGCCAGCAGUGAAGCAGUGAAGCUCUUUGACAGAGUACAGGUGUUCCAAUCAGCUCACAAGGAGACCCAAGGAGACAAGAGGAAGGAGGACCAAGUUAGUGGGAAAAAAAAGGAUAUUCAAGAGACAAUGCUACUACUACUUCAAAAAAUCGAGGAGGAUGUCCGAGAAAUCAAGGAGGAUGUCCGAAAACUCAAGGAGGAUGUUCGCCUUAUCAAGAACUGGAUAGACAUGAACCCAAAAUGUGGUGCAAACUUGACUGUGGAAACCACUGUGGAAAUCUCCUUUGAGAUUCUUCGGUCAUUUGGCUUUAGAGCUAAUUCACUGGAAGAAGUAAAAUGCUGAAUGUCAUCUUGUACGCAGCAAGAAAUUGGAUAACUACUUGAGUGGGAACAGCAGUUCUCAGAGGAACACCAAGAUGAGGAGAAGAACCGUGCCACCUUGCUGAAGAUCCUGAUGGAGUUGGCACCAAAGCCAAAACAUGGCAGCAAGAUCUCUGCAUUAGACAUAAUUCAAGUGUCCAUGCAGAGACUUGCUGG